rnacentral:rRNA from 1 species
AAACGGCCGCGGUACCCUAACCGUGCAAAGGUAGCAUAAUCAUUUGCCUUUUAAUUGGAGGCUGGUAUGAAUGGUUUGACGAGAGCUAUGCUGUCUCUUUCGAAAUAUUUAAAAAUUAACUUUUAGGUAAAGAGGCCUAAAUUCGUUUAAGGGACAAGAAGACCCUGUUGAGCUUUAGUGAUCCUAUAAAUUGAUGGGCAAUUUAUUGGUUGUUGUGUAUUUGUGUAUUAUAUAUAACGUAAGUUUAAAGGUAAUCUUUAGUUGGGGCGACUGAGGAACAUGGAAAGCUUCCUUGAAUUUAAAGCAUGUUGGGCAAUUAAUUUGUUGAUGCAUUUGCGUUAAUUUUGAUCCAAUUUAUUUUGAUUAAGAGAAAAAGUUACCACAGGGAUAACAGCGUAAUCUUUCUGGAGAGAUCUAAUCGAAAGAAGGGUUUGCGACCUCG